UUGAUCCUGGCUCAGAACGAACGCUGGCGGCGUGGAUUAGGCAUGCAAGUCGAACGCGAACGUCACCUUCGGGUGGCUAGUAGAGUGGCGAACGGGUGAGUAACGCGUGAGAAACCUGCCUAGAAGUGGGGGAUAACACUCCCAACGGGGUGCUAAUACCGCAUGUGAUGUGAGUGUCUCCUGGCACACACAGGAAAGAUGGCCUCUGCUUGCAAGCUAUCGCUUCUAGAUGGUCUCGCGUCCGAUUAGCUUGUUGGUGAGGUAACGGCCCACCAGGGCGACGAUCGGUAGCUGGUCUGAGAGGAUGGUCAGCCACACUGGGACUGAGAUACGGCCCAGACUCCUACGGGAGGCAGCAGUCGAGAGGCUUUGUCAAUGGGGGAAACCCUGAACAAGCGACGCCGCGUGGGGGAUGACGGCCUUUGGGUUGUAAACCCCUUUCAGCAGGGACGAAUGUUAUGUGGGUGAAUAAUCCACGUAGUUGACGGUACCCGCAGAAGAAGCUCCGGCUAACUCCGUGCCAGCAGCCGCGGUAAUACGGGGGGAGCGAGCGUUGUUCGGAAUCACUGGGCGUAAAGGGCGUGUAGGCGGUUCGGCAAGUGAGAUGUGAAAGCCCCCGGCUCACCCGGGGAUGUGCAUUUCAUACUGCCGGACUUGAGUGCGGAAGAGGAUGGGGGAAUUCCUGGUAGCGGUGAAAUGCGUAGAUAUCAGGAGGAACACCGGUGGCGAAGGCGCCCAUCUGGUCCGUUACUGACGCUGAUGCGCGAAAGCUAGGGGAGCGAACGGGAUUAGAUACCCCGGUAGUCCUAGCCGUAAACGGUGGGCACUAGGUGUUGGAGGCAUCGACCCUUCCAGUGCCGCAGCUAACGCAUUAAGUGCCCCGCCUGGGGAGUACGGUCGCAAGACUGAAACUCAAAGGAAUUGACGGGGGCCCGCACAAGCGGUGGAGCAUGUGGUUCAAUUCGACGCAACGCGAAGAACCUUACCCAGGCUUGACAUGCACUGGACCGGUGUAGAAACACACCUUCCCUUCGGGGCUAGUGCACAGGUGCUGCAUGGCUGUCGUCAGCUCGUGUCGUGAGAUGUUGGGUUAAGUCCCGCAACGAGCGCAACCCUUGCCCUUAGUUGCUAACGAAUAAAGUCGAGCACUCUAGGGGGACUGCCGGCGGUAAGCCGGAGGAAGGUGGGGACGACGUCAAGUCCUCAUGGCCCUUACGCCUGGGGCUACACACGUGCUACAAUGACCGACACAGAGGGCUGCGAUACCGCGAGGUGGAGCCAAUCCCAAAAAGUCGGCCUCAGUUCGGAUUGCAGUCUGCAACUCGACUGCAUGAAGGUGGAAUCGCUAGUAAUCGCUGAUCAGCAGGCAGCGGUGAAUACGUUCCCGGGCCUUGUACACACCGCCCGUCAAGCCACGAAAGUUGGCAGUACCCGAAGUCGCCGUGGUAACCCGCAAGGGAGCUAGGCGCCUAAGGUAAGGCUAGCGAUUGGGGCUAAGUCGUAACAAGGUA
rnacentral:rRNA from 1 species